AGAACAGAGCGGUGCCAACUAAUAGGAACACCAGUUUUGGAGUGACUGGAAGACGGAGAUCGAAGAUGGUGAGAGAUUUGCCUAACCUAAGAAAAUUCAAUGAACUGAUGAAGGAGAAAAAUGGAGGAUUUGAUUUAGGGAUUUUGAUUUGGGGUUUGAAUGAAAUAAUGAAGAAGAAUAAUGGAGAGUUUAAUUUAGGGCUUUUUGAAGAAGAAGAAUGUAUUUGGGAGUUUGAAUGAGCUCAUGAUUGAUGAAGAACUAAAGUAA
rnacentral:lncRNA from 1 species